UACGGAGGGUGCAAGCGUUAAUCGGAAUUACUGGGCGUAAAGGGUGCGUAGGUGGUUUAAUAAGUUAGCUGUGAAAUCCCUGGGCUUAACCUAGGAAGGUCAGCUAAGACUGUUGAACUGGAGUAUGGGAGAGGGUAGUGGAAUUUCCGGUGUAGCGGUGAAAUGCGUAGAGAUCGGAAGGAACACCAGUGGCGAAGGCGGCUACCUGGCCUAAUACUGACACUGAGGCACGAAAGCGUGGGGAGCGAACAGG
rnacentral:rRNA from 1 species